GGCUUGGUAGCGCCCGGGGCGCGUCUGCAUCCUAUUCUCAGAGUUUGCACAAACGUAGUAGCGGAAGAAGCUCGUUCGACUCGAGCCCAGGCCA